rnacentral:rRNA from 1 species
UACGGAGGGUGCAAGCGUUAUCCGGAUUCACUGGGUUUAAAGGGUGCGUAGGUGGGUUGGUAAGUCAGUGGUGAAAUCUCCGAGCUUAACUUGGAAACUGCCAUUGAUACUAUCAGUCUUGAAUAUUGUGGAGGUCAGCGGAAUAUGUCAUGUAGCGGUGAAAUGCUUAGAUAUGACAUAGAACACCAAUUGCGAAGGCAGCUGGCUACACAUAUAUUGACACUGAGGCACGAAAGCGUGGGGAGCAAAAGGG